rnacentral:rRNA from 1 species
AUACGGAGGUGGCGAGCGUUACUCGGAUUUACUGGGCGUAAAGCGCGCGUAGGCGGUCUGUUUAGUCAGGCGUGAAAUCCCUGGGCUCAACCCAGGAACUGCGUUUGAAACUGGCGGACUAGAGUUCGGGAGAGGAGAGUGGAAUUCCCAGUGUAGAGGUGAAAUGCGUAGAUAUUGGGAGGAACACCAGUGGCGAAGGCGGUUACCUGGACGGGUCCUGACGCUGAGGCGCGAAAGCGUGGGGAGCAAACAGGAGUAGAAACCCCGGUAGUCC